GUAUGGUGAGGCCAACAGAUCAGGAAAUGACUGCCGUUGACAAGAUAGCUUGUUUCUCACAGUUCCCAAGAGGAGGGGGCACUCCACGCGAUGCAGGGCCAGGGCCACAUGGGAAGCACCAAGUUUCAGGUGUACGCCAUAGCUAUUCAACAUUUAUACCUAAAGAAGUGAUCACCAUGGAUUUCUGAUGUGUGUGUAUACGCACCAGGAUCGUAGUCUCACGAAACCGAAGAAUGGAGGCAUGGACCGGAGAGGCCAGAGGUUGCAGAAGAGAAUAGUUAUUAAAGCAAAGAGUUAGAGCUCCCGAACAGGAGGGGGGUACCCGAAGCUGGGAUGCCCAUCAGAUAAAGCAAAGACUUCUAUUUUUAUACUUUUCCUUGUAUAUCUAAAGAGAAAAGCUGACGUCUACUGGUACAGUUUUAUCAAAUUCUCAGCCUUGAGGAAGCUUUCGAGGAGGUUUUUGCAACAAACCAGCUGUCCUGUGCUAAUGAUGUUUCCCAGGGCUACGGCCUUGAAGAUAUGACUGUCCUUGUCUAUCGUACCAGGGAAUUCCUGACUGCCUGGAGUCAUGCUGACUAACCUGCCACACCUCCUAUCUGGCAACCAUCAAUAUGGCCUCUGCAUCUAUGAGUUUGUUUCUGUUUUGUUUGUUAAUUUUGUUCUUUAGAUUCCAC